CCUACGGGAGGCAGCAGUGGGGAAUAUUGCACAAUGGGGGAAACCCUGAUGCAGCGACGCCGCGUUAGUGCAGCAGUAUUUCGGUAUGUAAAGCUCUAUCAGCAGGGAAGCAAAUGACGGUACCUGACUAAGAAGCCCCGGCUAACUACGUGCCAUCAGCCGCGGUAAUACGUAGGGGGCACGCGUUAUCCGGAUUUACUGGGUGUAAAGGGAGCGUAGGCGGCAAGGUAAGCCAGAGGUAAAAGCCCGCGGCUCAAAUGCGGGACUGAUUUUGGAACGAUCUAGUUAGAUUGCAGGAGAGGUAAGUGGAAUUCCUAGGGUAGCGGUGAAAUGCGUAGAUAUUAGGAGGAACACCAGUGGCGAAGGCGGUUUACUGGACUGUAAAUGACGCUGAGGCUCGAAAGCGUGGGGAGCAAACAGGAUUAGAUACCCGGGUAGUC
rnacentral:rRNA from 1 species